UUUAUAAAACAUUUUGGGCAUGUUUACGUAUCAGUAAUGGAGAAAGUAAGGAAUCAGAUAAUUUAGGAAUCGGGGAACUACUGAAUCGGUAUGGGAAGAAUCAUUCCCAUUAAGUUGUUUACUAAACAUACGAAAUU